rnacentral:rRNA from 1 species
UACCAGCAGCCCCGAGUGGUCGGGACGUUUUAUUGGGCCUAAAGCAUCCGUAGCCGGUUCUACAAGUCUUCCGUUAAAUCCAGCUGCUUAACAGAUGGGCUGCGGAAGAUACUAUGGAGCUAGGAGGCGGGAGAGGCAAGCGGUACUCGAUGGGUAGGGGUAAAAUCCGUUGAUCCAUUGAAGACCACCAGUGGCGAAGGCGGCUUGCCAGAACGCGCUCGACGGUGAGGGAUGAAAGCUGGGGGAGCAAACCGG